GGAUCACUUCCCAUUGGGAAGUUAAGGCCAUACGGACAGCCGGGUCCACUGCCGA
rnacentral:sRNA from 1 species